AUAAUCAGGGUCAUCCCUAGCUCAGUCGAUUCGCGACCGUCGAGUUUGGCGGUACUAUAUUGUGAUAAUUAACGAAGUAUAACGAAUAUCGAUAAAUAAUCGAAUGAUUACAUAAUUAAUAAACAUAAACUAUGGUUAUGUUGCAAAUAUCCCUGCUACCAAUUUGCCUCACCGUGGGCCUCACGUGCUGGAACGUCAAGAUGAACGCAUACACCAAAACUGGUGUACACAGUCGGAGGCCACUCUGGGAGUCGGUUCAGCAAAGUGACAUCUGUCGGCGGAAUUGUGACCGUCGGCGUCAAUUCACACACUACCAACAAUGUUUACGAGUCAGAUGACGUCACUGACAAAGCCCUCUUUGUGAAGUCAUAGUAUUUUUUAAAUCAUAAAUAGAAGUAUACCAGUGACAAAAAUGGCUCUAUAUUUUGAUGGCGCCGUCAAAAAUCCUGUGACUAUGUGGUUAGUGUCCAGUUCUUGCAAUCUGUGUCCUAAGUUUAAUUCCGAACUCAUUACAAAAUUGUAUUAGUAAAUGAUUUCGCGAUUCCUACGACCGUUUUUCAUGUAUAAAAAGACAAAAUGUAUAAUAUCUGUUCGAUUUAUUAAUAAAAUUGGUUAC